rnacentral:rRNA from 1 species
AUUGAACGCUGGCGGCAGGCCUAACACAUGCAAGUCGAGCGGAUGAAGGGAGCUUGCUCCUGGAUUCAGCGGCGGACGGGUGAGUAAUGCCUAGGAAUCUGCCUGGUAGUGGGGGAUAACGUCCGGAAACGGGCGCUAAUACCGCAUACGUCCUGAGGGAGAAAGUGAGGGAUCUUCGGACCUCACGCUAUCAGAUGAGCCUAGGUCGGAUUAGCUAGUUGGUGGGGUAAAGGCCUACCAAGGCGACGAUCCGUAACUGGUCUGAGAGGAUGAUCAGUCACACUGGAACUGAGACACGGUCCAGACUCCUACGGGAGGCAGCAGUGGGGAAUAUUGGACAAUGGGCAAAAGCCUGAUCCAGCCAUGCCGCGUGUGUGAAGAAGGUCUUCGGAUUGUAAAGCACUUUAAGUUGGGAGGAAGGGCAGUAAGUUAAUACCUUGCUGUUUUGACGUUACCAACAGAAUAAGCACCGGCUAACUUCGUG